GCCGGCCUGGAUAAAAUGGCCAAAGGACACAUGUUGGCUGAUGUUGUGGCCAUUAUUGGUACACAGGACAUAGUGUUUGGUGAGGUCGAUCGUUAAGAUGAUGCUGCUCGUGUUUUUGUUCUAUGAAGAAGAAGUCUCUCCUUCACACAUCUGUUAGUCAGGCUCUCUUCCUGUUCACUAUCCGCUGUAGUGAAUCUUCUGACAAAUGAUCAGAAUCAGUGAUGUACAAUGCUCAAAUAACCCUAAUAAAUAUUUUAUGACCCAACA